AGCGAACGCUGGCGGCAGGCCUAACACAUGCAAGUCGAACGCCCCUUCGGGGGAGUGGCGGACGGGUGAGUAACGCGUGGGAAUGUGCCCUUUGGUACGGAACAACUGAGGGAAACUUCAGCUAAUACCGUAUGUGCCCUUCGGGGGAAAGAUUUAUCGCCAUUGGAGCAGCCCGCGUUGGAUUAGGUAGUUGGUGGGGUAAAGGCCUACCAAGCCUACGAUCCAUAGCUGGUCUGAGAGGAUGAUCAGCCACACUGGGACUGAGACACGGCCCAGACUCCUACGGGAGGCAGCAGUGGGGAAUCUUGCGCAAUGGGUGAAAGCCUGACGCAGCCAUGCCGCGUGUAUGAUGAAGGUCUUAGGAUUGUAAAAUACUUUCACCGGGGAAGAUAAUGACGGUACCCGGAGAAGAAGCCCCGGCUAACUUCGUGCCAGCAGCCGCGGUAAGAC
rnacentral:rRNA from 1 species